UACGUAGGGGGCGAGCGUUGUUCGGAUUCAUUGGGCGUAAAGGGUGCGUAGGCGGCUCGGUAAGUCGGGUGUGAAAGCCCCGGGCUCAACCUGGGAAUUGCAUUCGAGACUGUGUAGCUAGGGUACGGAAGAGGGAAGCGGAAUUUCAGGUGUAGCGGUGAAAUGCGUAGAUAUCUGAAGGAACACCAGUGGCGAAAGCGGCUUCCUGGUCCAGUACCGACGUUCAGGCACGAAAGCGUGGGGAGCAAACAGG
rnacentral:rRNA from 1 species